GACGAACGCUGGCGGCGUGCCUAAUACAUGCAAGUAGAACGCUGAAGGAGGAGCUUGCUUCUCUGGAUGAGUUGCGAACGGGUGAGUAACGCGUAGGUAACCUGCCUGGUAGCGGGGGAUAACUAUUGGAAACGAUAGCUAAUACCGCAUAAUAGUAGAUGUUGCAUGACAUUUGCUUAAAAGGUGCAAUUGCAUCACUACCAGAUGGACCUGCGUUGUAUUAGCUAGUUGGUGGGGUAACGGCUCACCAAGGCGACGAUACAUAGCCGACCUGAGAGGGUGAUCGGCCACACUGGGACUGAGACACGGCCCAGACUCCUACGGGAGGCAGCAGUAGGGAAUCUUCGGCAAUGGACGGAAGUCUGACCGAGCAACGCCGCGUGAGUGAAGAAGGUUUUCGGAUCGUAAAGCUCUGUUGUAAGAGAAGAACGAGCGUGAGAGUGGAAAGUGCACACUGUGACGGUAUCUUACCAGAAAGGGACGGCUAACUACGU
rnacentral:rRNA from 1 species